rnacentral:sRNA from 1 species
AUUCAAUAAGAAAAUAGAGUUAGGAUGAAAAGUAUAAAUAUAUAGUAGAACAAAGAUAGUGAAAACCAAAU